GGGUUGUGAGGUUAAGCGACUAAGCGUACACGGUGGAUGCCCUGGCAGUCAGAGGCGAUGAAGGACGUGCUAAUCUGCGAUAAGCGUCGGUAAGGUGAUAUGAACCGUUAUAACCGGCGAUUUCCGAAUGGGGAAACCCAGUGUGUUUCGACACACUAUCAUUAACUGAAUCCAUAGGUUAAUGAGGCGAACCGGGGGAACUGAAACAUCUAAGUACCCCGAGGAAAAGAAAUCAACCGAGAUUCCCCCAGUAGCGGCGAGCGAACGGGGAGCAGCCCAGAGCCUGAAUCAGUGUGUGUGUUAGUGGAAGCGUCUGGAAAGGCGCGCGAUACAGGGUGACAGCCCCGUACACAAAAAUGCACAUGCUGUGAGCUCGAUGAGUAGGGCGGGACACGUGGUAUCCUGUCUGAAUAUGGGGGGACCAUCCUCCAAGGCUAAAUACUCCUGACUGACCGAUAGUGAACCAGUACCGUGAGGGAAAGGCGAAAAGAACCCCGGCGAGGGGAGUGAAAAAGAACCUGAAACCGUGUACGUACAAGCAGUGGGAGCACGCUUAGGCGUGUGACUGCGUACCUUUUGUAUAAUGGGUCAGCGACUUAUAUUCUGUAGCAAGGUUAACCGAAUAGGGGAGCCGAAGGGAAACCGAGUCUUAACUGGGCGUUAAGUUGCAGGGUAUAGACCCGAAACCCGGUGAUCUAGCCAUGGGCAGGUUGAAGGUUGGGUAACACUAACUGGAGGACCGAACCGACUAAUGUUGAAAAAUUAGCGGAUGACUUGUGGCUGGGGGUGAAAGGCCAAUCAAACCGGGAGAUAGCUGGUUCUCCCCGAAAGCUAUUUAGGUAGCGCCUCGUGAAUUCAUCUCCGGGGGUAGAGCACUGUUUCGGCAAGGGGGUCAUCCCGACUUACCAACCCGAUGCAAACUGCGAAUACCGGAGAAUGUUAUCACGGGAGACACACGGCGGGUGCUAACGUCCGUCGUGAAGAGGGAAACAACCCAGACCGCCAGCUAAGGUCCCAAAGUCAUGGUUAAGUGGGAAACGAUGUGGGAAGGCCCAGACAGCCAGGAUGUUGGCUUAGAAGCAGCCAUCAUUUAAAGAAAGCGUAAUAGCUCACUGGUCGAGUCGGCCUGCGCGGAAGAUGUAACGGGGCUAAACCAUGCACCGAAGCUGCGGCAGCGACGCUUAUGCGUUGUUGGGUAGGGGAGCGUUCUGUAAGCCUGCGAAGGUGUGCUGUGAGGCAUGCUGGAGGUAUCAGAAGUGCGAAUGCUGACAUAAGUAACGAUAAAGCGGGUGAAAAGCCCGCUCGCCGGAAGACCAAGGGUUCCUGUCCAACGUUAAUCGGGGCAGGGUGAGUCGACCCCUAAGGCGAGGCCGAAAGGCGUAGUCGAUGGGAAACAGGUUAAUAUUCCUGUACUUGGUGUUACUGCGAAGGGGGGACGGAGAAGGCUAUGUUGGCCGGGCGACGGUUGUCCCGGUUUAAGCGUGUAGGCUGGUUUUCCAGGCAAAUCCGGAAAAUCAAGGCUGAGGCGUGAUGACGAGGCACUACGGUGCUGAAGCAACAAAUGCCCUGCUUCCAGGAAAAGCCUCUAAGCAUCAGGUAACAUCAAAUCGUACCCCAAACCGACACAGGUGGUCAGGUAGAGAAUACCAAGGCGCUUGAGAGAACUCGGGUGAAGGAACUAGGCAAAAUGGUGCCGUAACUUCGGGAGAAGGCACGCUGAUAUGUAGGUGAAGCGACUUGCUCGUGGAGCUGAAAUCAGUCGAAGAUACCAGCUGGCUGCAACUGUUUAUUAAAAACACAGCACUGUGCAAACACGAAAGUGGACGUAUACGGUGUGACGCCUGCCCGGUGCCGGAAGGUUAAUUGAUGGGGUCAGCGCAAGCGAAGCUCUUGAUCGAAGCCCCGGUAAACGGCGGCCGUAACUAUAACGGUCCUAAGGUAGCGAAAUUCCUUGUCGGGUAAGUUCCGACCUGCACGAAUGGCGUAAUGAUGGCCAGGCUGUCUCCACCCGAGACUCAGUGAAAUUGAACUCGCUGUGAAGAUGCAGUGUACCCGCGGCAAGACGGAAAGACCCCGUGAACCUUUACUAUAGCUUGACACUGAACAUUGAGCCUUGAUGUGUAGGAUAGGUGGGAGGCUUUGAAGUGUGGACGCCAGUCUGCAUGGAGCCGACCUUGAAAUACCACCCUUUAAUGUUUGAUGUUCUAACGUUGACCCGUAAUCCGGGUUGCGGACAGUGUCUGGUGGGUAGUUUGACUGGGGCGGUCUCCUCCUAAAGAGUAACGGAGGAGCACGAAGGUUGGCUAAUCCUGGUCGGACAUCAGGAGGUUAGUGCAAUGGCAUAAGCCAGCUUGACUGCGAGCGUGACGGCGCGAGCAGGUGCGAAAGCAGGUCAUAGUGAUCCGGUGGUUCUGAAUGGAAGGGCCAUCGCUCAACGGAUAAAAGGUACUCCGGGGAUAACAGGCUGAUACCGCCCAAGAGUUCAUAUCGACGGCGGUGUUUGGCACCUCGAUGUCGGCUCAUCACAUCCUGGGGCUGAAGUAGGUCCCAAGGGUAUGGCUGUUCGCCAUUUAAAGUGGUACGCGAGCUGGGUUUAGAACGUCGUGAGACAGUUCGGUCCCUAUCUGCCGUGGGCGCUGGAGAACUGAGGGGGGCUGCUCCUAGUACGAGAGGACCGGAGUGGACGCAUCACUGGUGUUCGGGUUGUCAUGCCAAUGGCACUGCCCGGUAGCUAAAUGCGGAAGAGAUAAGUGCUGAAAGCAUCUAAGCACGAAACUUGCCCCGAGAUGAGUUCUCCCUGACUCCUUGAGAGUCCUGAAGGAACGUUGAAGACGACGACGUUGAUAGGCCGGGUGUGUAAGCGCAGCGAUGCGUUGAGCUAACCGGUACUAAUGAACCGUGAGGCUUAACCUUACAACGCCGAAGCUGUU
rnacentral:rRNA from 1 species